rnacentral:rRNA from 1 species
GAUUGAACGCUGGCGGCAUGCCUUCCACAUGCAAGUCGAACGGUAACGGGCCUUCGGGUGCCGACGAGUGGCGAACGGGUGAGUAAUACAUCGGAACGUGCCCGAUCGUGGGGGAUAACGAGGCGAAAGCUUUGCUAAUACCGCAUACGAUCUACGGAUGAAAGCAGGGGACCGCAAGGCCUUGCGCGGACGGAGCGGCCGAUGGCAGAUUAGGUAGUUGGUGGGAUAAAAGCUUACCAAGCCGACGAUCUGUAGCUGGUCUGAGAGGAUGAUCAGCCACACUGGGACUGAGACACGGCCCAGACUCCUACGGGAGGCAGCAGUGGGGAAUUUUGGACAAUGGGCGCAAGCCUGAUCCAGCCAUGCCGCGUGCAGGAUGAAGGCCUUCGGGUUGUAAACUGCUUUUGUACGGAACGAAAAGCCUUCUUUUAAUACAGGAGGGUCAUGACGGUACCGUAAGAAUAAGCACCGGCUAACUACGUG